rnacentral:tRNA from 1 species
UGGGGGGUCGUCUAACGGUAGGACAGUAGCCUUUGAAGCUAUUAAUUUUGGUUCGAUUCCAAGCCCCCCAGCCA